GAUGAACGCUGGCGGCGUGCCUAAUACAUGCCAGUCGAGCGAACAGACGAGGAGCUUGCUCCUCUGACGUUAGCGGCGGACGGGUGAGUAACACGUGGAUAACCUACCUAUAAGACUGGGAUAACUUCGGGAAACCGGAGCUAAUACCGGAUAAUAUAUUGAACCGCAUGGUUCAAUAGUGAAUGACGGUUUUGCUGUCACUUAUAGAUGGAUCCGCGCCGCAUUAGCUAGUUGGUAAGGUAACGGCUUACCAAGGCAACGAUGCGUAGCCGACCUGAGAGGGUGAUCGGCCACACUGGAACUGAGACACGGUCCAGACUCCUACGGGAGGCAGCAGUAGGGAAUCUUCCGCAAUGGGCGAAAGCCUGACGGAGCAACGCCGCGUGAGUGAUGAAGGUCUUCGGAUCGUAAAACUCUGUUAUUAGGGAAGAACAAAUGUGUAAGUAACUAUGCACGUCUUGACGGUACCUAAUCAGAAAGCCACGGCUAACUACGUG
rnacentral:rRNA from 1 species